UGACCGCCAAUCAUCAAACACACACACUUACUAAAUGACAGACAAACUUGAAUUUGACUACAGAGCUGUUUUAGUUCAGAUUGCUCGCGAUUUGGACGAAAAACAGCAGAAACAACUCUUCUUCCUCUGCAAAGUUCCAAGACGAGUUCUAGACGUUUGGGCACUUCUUACUUCACUGGAAGACUCGGCGAAGAUAUCGUGGAUCAAUGUUUCCUUCCUGAAGAAAUGUUUACACACCAUUGGAAGGGAAGAUCUGGUUGUCGCCCUGGCCGAGUUUGAAAUGAAGCGAGAGCUGUCCAUUCUUCUGAAUUUCUACGUAAAGGAGAAGAAUGGCUUGCACCCCUUCUACCCCUCGUCUGCGACUGUAGCGGCUUUUCACCUUGUGCGGCUGAUGGAAAGGUUUCCGGGCAGAGAAGAUCUGACAGGAAUGAUGAGAAGCUCAGACAAGAAAGCGGAAGAUCUUUGGCUGCAGUUCUUGUCUGCAACUCCUCGGACCUCGAGAAUGACGUGGGGCAAAUUUUCCAUGCUGGUGGCGAUUGCCGGAGAAAUAAUUGCCAAGACAUCUUUGGAUCAUUAUGCAAGAAGUUCAGACGAAGCCAUAAUGGAAAUGUGUAUCACGUUGGCAGAUAAGCUCUCUACCAUAUUGGUUGAGCUUGGAUGUUGGCCGGCAUAUUCAUCUUCCUCGGGAUAAGACCUUUUAAGCAAAAACUGAUAUUUUACAUGUCUACUUUAAUAUCACUCAUGAAUCAAGACUUGAGGCUAUUGUAUAGAAUUGAACUUGUUGAGAUUUCUCAACAUCUGACUGGAAAGCAAUUCAUAAGGCUCUUAAAGUUUUGCAAAGAUUACAUUCCGGAGAGUGAUUCGAGUGGCUUCUCCAUACCAGAUGAAAUUUUUGGGUGCUUGGAGGAAAAGGGAGUUAUUUCGUACGAGAAAGUCAGCUUUCUGACGAAAUUCGCCAACGCGAUAGGAAGGAGAGAUCUCGGCGCCAAACUUACCAGAUUUGAAAUAACAAGAGAGCUGAUGAUCUACGCUUUGAACAGGCAAGGGUUAGAAGCUACUAUGAUUUCGUCGACCACAAGUCUGGGUCAUCAUUUAGCCAAAAUGAUGGAUGUGGUUCAAGAUGGAGUUGAUGCUCCAAUCCAAGGAUUGUUCAGGUUCCUCUUUAUGCCUGGACGAAAUGUUUCCGACGUUCUGGACGUAAUCAUCGGUGAAGUACUACCUGGCUCAGAUACAUCCAAAAGCUGGAACAACCUGGCCUUGCGCUUCGUCACUGCGGCGGAAAUUGUCUGGCUGGUCAUCAGAGAGAACCAAGAGAAAGAAAAUGGUAUAAAGAAUGCCUUACAGGUCGCCAAAAAGCUGGCCAGUCAUCUAUGGUCUAAGAUGGACAAAUUUGAGAUCUGGACUGCAGAGUACCAUAUGUUGCCUUCGUUCGACUCACUUUGGGAGAAGUUUUGCUCAUUUGUCAUGGAACGACACCAUGGAUACUUUCGCGCGUCAGUUCCUGAACCAGUGCCUGACUUUCCAUGGCAGUUAAUGUUAGGCUUGAUUGAGAAAUUGAAGAAUACCUUCUUCACUGAAAAAUGAGGAUAAGUAUCAUCCAGUUUAACGUAGUCAUUGGUUUAAUUUAGCAAAUAUUGAAGGGACAAAAAAUCUAAGUAGUCAAGAAAAGAGUAGAUAUAGUGAACUGAAAGAGAGAAGUAGCUAAUUCAUUUUUCUCGCUAUCUCAAAUAUUCACGCGUCGUGAACUUGAACAGAAUUUUUUUCAAAGGAUCUACAAUUUACCCAUUGGUCUUGGUCUUGGUCUGGGUCUGGGUCUGAGUCUGAGUCUGGUAUGCAUGUGAGCAGUACAAAUUUGCAUAUUGAUCAUUUUUAUGAUUUUAUCCCCAGGUUCGCUGAGUCGAGAACCGUUUGAACAUACAACAAACAAGGAAGUGAUGUCUCAAUUUUGGACACCAACUUCCAACUAACAGACAUGUGGUUACUUCUCGAGAACCAGUUGGCAAACUUAUUGCAACAAAAGUUGCAAUACAAUCGUACCAUACAAUCGUAGCUCAUGCUACACUCUAAAAUGCUUGACUGUAUUCAAUGCUUUGAAUAAAGCACAAACUGAUAUAUA
rnacentral:misc_RNA from 1 species